UCCACAACUGGAAGUUUUUAAGAAGAGAUUGGACAACCAUUUGUCUGAAAUAGUACAGAGUUUCCUGCUUGAGCAGGGGGCUGGACUAGAAGAUCUCUAAGAUCCCUUCAAACCCUGUUAUUUUGUUGUUCUGUCUACCCACUCCAGUCUAGAACAUUAUCUUAAAAAUAUUCGGUCAAGGAGGAAAUCAUUGUGUACAUUUCUUCUUCUCCCCAGUUAAAAGGCAAAGUUUGUCAAAAAAAAAAGACAAACAUUAUAUUGGUCAAAAGACUAGUUUUGACUUCAAAGUGCCAGUUACUUAUAUUAUAACAUAUCCAGCUGUCUAUUGGGGUGGCUUCAAAUUCCUGCAGUGAGCUAGGGUUGAACUUCAUGGCUUAAAUGUCCUUUUCAUCUCUGUAGCCACAGUGACAUGAUGUGCUUCAAUGAGCAAUGAGUGUUAGGGGCAGAGGACAAGCAAGUCAUGAAAACUGUAACAUGGAAAAAUGUUCAAUUGUUCAAGCUGUUCAAUUAGCUUAGAAGGGAAUUGAUUUAGUCUCAAAGAGGUCUAGUUUUCCCUGGUCAAACAGCUACUUAUUAAGAAGUGAUUUAAUUCUUCUCACUCUCCUGAUUGAGUUUCAUUCCAUAUUGCCUUGCAGCUCCUGAAAAUUCUCUGUACAUCAGGUAGCAAGAUAAUGUGACUGUCUUCAAGAGAAAUUUAACAAGCAUCUCUCUCUCUCUCUCUCUCUGUCCAAAUAAUCACUACCUUGUUUUUUCUCUCUGGAAACCAGAUGCAAUCAAGAAAGAAGCAGGUUUACUGUAUGCUUCUAUGAUCCUUUGUUGUGGACUAAAACAAUUGCCACCAGUGACAAAGUAUUUGUUGUGUACUGCGGCCGUAGUAAGCCAGUCAUUUUCCCAUUAGGAAUUCAAGAACAAGAAAGAGCAAAACUAUACCAAGGAAAAUGGAGAAAAAGCUAUUUUGAA